UACGUAGGGUGCGAGCGUUGUCCGGAAUUAUUGGGCGUAAAGAGCUCGUAGGCGGUGUGUCACGUCGAUCGUGAAAACUUGGGGCUUAACUCUGAGCUUGCGGUCGAUACGGGCAUCACUGGAGUUCGGCAGGGGAGACUGGAAUUCCUGGUGUAGCGGUGAAAUGCGCAGAUAUCAGGAGGAACACCAAUGGCGAAGGCAGAUCUCUGGGCCGUAACUGACGCUGAGGAGCGAAAGCAUGGGGAGCGAACAGG
rnacentral:rRNA from 1 species